CAGGUCGCCGGCAGUACGGCGCACUGCGUUCGGCCUCGGGUACAAAUUGCUAUGGACUACAAUUCCACGAUUGAGUUCUACUGGGCUCCCUUGCUGAAUCAAGUUCUGAUGAUGCGCUGUGGACUGUGUUGUUUCCUUGAAGUUAUCUGAAUUUUGAAGGGGCACAUCAAUGAUGUUGGCCAGGCUGCCCUUUCUGACAGCCGCUGAAACUGCCGCUG